GGGGUCGUAGCUCAGCCAGGAGAGCAUCUCGAUGGCAUCGAGAAGGUUGCCGGUGCAAUUCCGGUCGACUCCA
rnacentral:tRNA from 1 species